CAGCUCGUGCCGUGAGGUAGUUCGGGUUAAGUCCCGCAACGAGCGCAACCCUCGUCGCUAGUUGCUUUUCUAGCGAGACUGCCGAGUCUAACUCGGGAGAAGUGGGGAUGACGUCAAGUCAGCACGGCUCUACGUCCUGGGCUACACACACGCUACAAUGGUCGGUACAAUGGGCUGCCAAGCCGCGAGGCGGAGCGAAUCCCAGCAAAACCGGCCCCAGUUCAGAUUGGAGUCUGCAACUCGACUCCAUGAAGGCGGAGUUGCUAGUAACCGCAGGUCAGCACACUGCGGUGAAUACGUUCCCGGGCCUU
rnacentral:rRNA from 1 species